rfam:Candidatus Atribacteria bacterium CG2_30_33_13 cg2_3.0_scaffold_806_c, whole genome shotgun sequence.
AAAGUCCCUGUUGGGUAAGGUCUAGCCAACCACCCAUACCGAGUGUUGCAUCGAAAUUGGUAACAAUUAGAUGACCUGUCUGCUGCAGGCAGGAGCGUAUACAGGGAAUCAGAUAGGCCAUAAGGAAGACCGUACUUCCUGAAGGUGAAUUAUACAGCCUCGUAAAAUAGAUUAAUGCAGAUGGCGACGUUGUUUUAGUAACGGAAGCCUACACAAAAAGAAUCGCAUAUGGCGAGAUUCUAAGAGGGUCUGUCGGGGUCUUGGCACA